rnacentral:rRNA from 1 species
ACAGGCUUAACACAUGCAAGUCGAGGGGCAGCAUGGUCUUAGCUUGCUAAGGCCGAUGGCGACCGGCGCACGGGUGAGUAACACGUAUCCAACCUGCCGUCUACUCUUGGACAGCCUUCUGAAAGGAAGAUUAAUACAAGAUGGCAUCAUGAGUCCGCAUGUUCACAUGAUUAAAGGUAUUCCGGUAGACGAUGGGGAUGCGUUCCAUUAGAUAGUAGGCGGGGUA